CUACGGGUAGCAGCAGUGGGGAAUAUUGGACAAUGGGGGAAACCCUGAUCCAGCAAUGCCGCGUGUGUGAAGAAGGCCUGCGGGUUGUAAAGCACUUUCGGUUGGGAGGACUGCUUCUAGCACUAAUAUUGUUGGAAGUUGACGUUACCUUCAGAAGAAGCACCGGCUAACUCCGUGCCAGCAGCCGCGGUAAUACGGAGGGUGCACGCGUUAAUCGGAAUUACUGGGCGUAAAGCGCGCGUAGGCGGCUAGAUCAGUCGGGUGUGAAAGCCCCGGGCUUAACCUGGGAACUGCAUCCGAUACUGGCUAGCUUGAGUACAGGAGAGGAGAGUGGAAUUCCACAUGUAGCGGUGAAAUGCGUAGAUAUGUGGAGGAACACCAAUGGCGAAGGCAGCUCUCUGGCCUGAUACUGACGCUGAGGUGCGAAAGCGUGGGGAGCAAACAGGAUUAGAUACCCGCGUAGUC
rnacentral:rRNA from 1 species